AUUGAGCUGAAACACGAUAGUACACUGAACCUACGGGUGAGGUGAUAGUUGCCCCGAGCAUGCUUCCAAGAAAAGCUUCUAAGCUCUAGGAUAAUACAACCCGUACCGUAAACCGACACAGGUAGUCGAGGAGAGUAUCCUCAGGCGCUCGAGUGAUCCAUGGCUAAGGAACUCGGCAAAAUAGACUCGUAACUUCGGGAGAAGAGUCUCCCACCGCAAGGUGGGACGCAGUGAAGAGGCCCAAGCGACUGUUUAGCAAAAACACAGGACUCUGCGAAAUCGAAAGAUGAAGUAUAGGGUCUGACACCUGCCCGGUGCCGGAAGGUUAAGGAAGGGGCUUAGGGGUAACUCGAAGGUCUUAACUGAAGCCCCGGUAAACGGCGGCCGUAACGAUAACGGUCCUAAGGUAGCGAAAUUCCUUGUCGGGUAAGUUCCGACCUGCACGAAUGGUGUAACGAUUUGGGCACUGUCUCAGCCAUGAGCUCGGUGAAAUUGUAGUAUCGGUGAAGAUGCCGAUUACCCGCAACGGGACGGAAAGACCCCGUGAACCUUUACUAUAGCUUCACAUUGUGCUUGAGUAUGGGAUGUGUAGGAUAGGUGGGAGGCUAUGAAGUGGUGACGCUAGUCAUUGUGGAGCCGUCGUUGAAAUACCACCCUUCCCAUACUUAGGUUCUAACCCUGCAAAGGGGACAGUGUGUGGUGGGUAGUUUGACUGGGGUGGUCGCCUCCAAAAGAGUAACGGAGGCUCGCAAAGGUACCCUCAGCAUGGACGGUAAUCAUGCGAAGAGCGUAUAAGUACAAGGGUGCUUGACUGAGAGAACGACGGUUCGAACAGGUGCGAAAGCAGGCUUAAGUGAUACGGUGGUUCUGUAUGGAAGGGCCAUCGCUCAAAGGAUAAAAGGUACUCCGGAUAACAGGCUGAUCUCCCCCAAGAGCUCACAUCGACGGGGAGGUUUGGCACCUCGAUGUCGGCUCGUCACAUCCUGGGGCUGGAGAAGGUCCCAAGGGUUGGGCUGUUCGCCCAUUAAAGUGGCACGCGAGCUGGGUUCAGAACGUCGCAAGACAGUUCGGUCCCUAUCUGUUGUGGGCGCAGGAAUAUUGAGGAGAUCUGACUCUAGUACGAGAGGACCGGGUUGGACGUACCGCUAGUGUACCAGUUGUGCCGCCAGGUGCAGCGCUGGGUAGCUAUGUACGGCACGGAUAAGCGCUGAAAGCAUCUAAGCGCGAAGCCGUCUCCAAGAUGAGUAUUCCAUUGAGGGUCGUAGAAGAUGACUACGUUGAUAGGUUAUAGGUGGAAGCGUAGUGAUGCGUGGAGCCGAGCAAUACUAAUUACCCGAAAGCUUCCUCG
rnacentral:rRNA from 1 species